rnacentral:sRNA from 1 species
CCCUAGCCCCGAUUGAAGUGGAAAUCCUUUUUGGCGAAGCAUGAGCCAAAAAGAUUGCAACGGAAAGCGGGAAACAGC